CUCAGCUACUAGACUGAUAUCCUUAAAAUCCUUUUGCAGUUCAUUGGUUACACUCAUUCUUUUAGAGAUAGUAAAGGCAGUGACAUCACAGACUGUUUCCACCCAUAUGGGUGGGUACAACCUCCAGUUCCAGGUCUUCUUUUCUUUUUCUUUAUUUUUUAUUUCUACUGAAACUGAAAUGAGUACUAGAUUUCUUUCUUUAGUGAUUAUUUUUCUUCUGAGGACAGGCCUUAUGAAUGCUGGAGUAACACAGAUCCCAAGGCAUCUAGUCAAGGGAAAGGGUCAGGAGAUGAACCUAAUGUGCAAGCAGGACUUAGGUCAUGAUGCUAUGUUCUGGUAUCAGCAGGAUGUCAACCGCGAGAUCCGUAUGAUGUUUUACUUCAGUAAUCAACAACUUAUUACAAAUGAGACUGCUUCCAGUCGCUUUCAAUCAGGUUUCCAUAAGGAAAAAUUCAAUCUUAAGAUUGAACUUCUUCAACUGGAGGACACAGGUACAUAUUUCUGUGCCAGUAGUAAACCACAGAGUUGUAAAGUUCCUUGAUCUCUGUGCAUAAACCUCUUCCAACAUCUGCUGAAAAGCAACAGGGGAUGAAAAGGGUUAUGGGAUAUUGAUCAAGAAG